GGGGCGGGUGCUAUAAUGCAGUCGAGCGGACAGAUGGGAGCUUGCUCCCUGAUGUUAGCGGCGGACGGGUGAGUAACACGUGGGUAACCUGCCUGUAAGACUGGGAUAACUCCGGGAAACCGGGGCUAAUACCGGAUGGUUGUUUGAACCGCAUGGUUCAAACAUAAAAGGUGGCUUCGGCUACCACUUACAGAUGGACCCGCGGCGCAUUAGCUAGUUGGUGAGGUAACGGCUCACCAAGGCAACGAUGCGUAGCCGACCUGAGAGGGUGAUCGGCCACACUGGGACUGAGACACGGCCCAGACUCCUACGGGAGGCAGCAGUAGGGAAUCUUCCGCAAUGGACGAAAGUCUGACGGAGCAACGCCGCGUGAGUGAUGAAGGUUUUCGGAUCGUAAAGCUCUGUUGUUAGGGAAGAACAAGUACCGUUCGAAUAGGGCGGUACCUUGACGGUACCUAACCAGAAAGCCACGGCUAACUACGUGCCAGCAGCCGCGGUAAUACGUAGGUGGCAAGCGUUGUCCGGAAUUAUUGGGCGUAAAGGGCUCGCAGGCGGUUUCUUAAGUCUGAUGUGAAAGCCCCCGGCUCAACCGGGGAGGGUCAUUGGAAACUGGGGAACUUGAGUGCAGAAGAGGAGAGUGGAAUUCCACGUGUAGCGGUGAAAUGCGUAGAGAUGUGGAGGAACACCAGUGGCGAAGGCGACUCUCUGGUCUGUAACUGACGCUGAGGAGCGAAAGCGUGGGGAGCGAACAGGAUUAGAUACCCUGGUAGUCCACGCCGUAAACGAUGAGUGCUAAGUGUUAGGGGGUUUCCGCCCCUUAGUGCUGCAGCUAACGCAUUAAGCACUCCGCCUGGGGAGUACGGUCGCAAGACUGAAACUCAAAGGAAUUGACGGGGGCCCGCACAAGCGGUGGAACAUGUGGUUUAAUUCGAAGCAACGCGAAGAACCUUACCAGGUCUUGACAUCCUCUGACAAUCCUAGAGAUAGGACGUCCCCUUCGGGGCAGAGUGACAGGUGUGCAUGGUUGUCCUCAGCUCAGGUCGUGAAAUGUUGGGUAAAUCCCGCACCAGCGCACCCUUGAUCUAGUUGCCACAUUCAUUUGGGACUCUAGUGACU
rnacentral:rRNA from 2 species